rnacentral:rRNA from 1 species
GAACGAGAAAGUCCCGCAAGGGAUGAGUAAAGUGGCGCACGGGUGAGUAACACGUAGCCAACCUACCCUCGAGUGGGGGAUAACCUGGGGAAACUCGGGCUAAUACCGCAUACCUCCGAGCUGCACAAGCAGUCCGGAGCAAAGGCCCGCAAGGGUCGCUGGAGGAGGGGGCUGCGGCCGAUUAGCUAGUUGGUGAGGUAAUGGCUCACCAAGGCGAUGAUCGGUAGCCGGCCUGAGAGGGCGCACGGCCACACUGGCACUGAAAUACGGGCCAGACUCCUACGGGAGGCAGCAGUGGGGAAUUUUGCACAAUGCCCGAAAGGGUGAUGCAGCAACGCCGCGUGAGGGAUGAAGGCCUUCGGGUCGUAAACCUCUUUCGACCGGGAAAAAUGGGUGCGCGAAGAGCGCGUUCUGAUGGUACCGGUGGAAGAAGCCCCGGCCAACUACGUG